GCGGUAGGCAGCAGCUUACGGAGGGAAUUCCAGCGGGUUCCGAAAGGAACCAUGCAGGGGUUCUUUUCUGAGGAAGUUCCGCCCACCACAAGAGCUCGAAAUGGCUUCAAGGGCCUUAGCCGGAACAGAAACGAUACCCAAAUCCGGAAUGCGAUGAGGGAAACCGAGCGAAGGAGGCGGGGUGAAACGCGCCGGCGAAAGAGCGGUGUGCGUGGUGCAAGGCCGUUAGGCCGCUUAGUCAAAUGCUGCAAGUACUGAAGGCGGACUAUUGCCUAUCGC
rnacentral:misc_RNA from 1 species